rnacentral:misc_RNA from 1 species
UAAUAUUAAUAGUAGUGUCUUAAAUCUCUGAACUUGUUAUUAUAGAAAAAGCUUCAUAAUUUGGAGAAAGAAGAUAGAAAAGAGAAUGAAACAAUGUUCAAAUCAGUGACAGACUUAAAUGUUCAGUCUCUGAUUUCUGAUGUUCAAUCUUUGAAGAUCUCAAAAGAAAAAUUGGCAUCAAAAUAUACUGCAUUAGAAAAAGAUUUUGAAACUGUUUUGGAUGGCUACAGUCAAUAUGGUUUGAAACUGGAAGAUUUAGAUAAAAAUGUGGACAAAUUGCUUAAUUUUGAAGAAGAUUUUGGAAAACUGAAAACAUGUAUUCAGAGAUUGGAGGAUUAUGUGUUCACUGGAAGUUCAGAUGUAUCCUAUUCGGAUACUCCUCCGAAAAGGUUUUCCAUACCUUCCACUGUUCCAUUUCCAACUAAGAUACCAUCUGAGUACUAUUUUGGUGCAAGAAAAAAGAAAGAUGAGGUAGUAGAAGAAGUUUCUUUGCAACAAGUUCCUUCAGCUGAGGUAAGUUUGAAAAAGGUGGAGAUUGAAGAAAUGCCUUCAAGUCAGAAACCUAAAAUGGCUGCACUUGUUCAAAAAGAGUCUGAAGAAAUAAAACAACUGAGGAGCCCUAAAGAAAAAUUCAGAGAAUUGGCAAAAAUGGUUAAAUUCGCCAGUGGUAAAGGAUACCCUUCUGUCCAUGACAAACAUGAAAAAGCGAAGGAAUUUAAAGUACAAGACUUUGAAUUGGAAGGUACAGCUGAAAUCAUCCCAGUGGAGGAAAUUUUACCUUCAACUGGAGUAAAGAAGCUAUCUUUAAGGCAAUUAAAACAAUUUCCCAAAGCUGCUCAUGCACUGACUAAUUUAAAAAAAAUACAGUCUGCAAAGUAUUUAGAUACUGAUCUUUUUAUUGAAGAUAGCAAGGAUACUGAAACUGAAGCUGAAAUUGAACCACAACUGGAGUCUUCAAAAACUGCAGAAAUUGAAGCAGCCAUUGAUUUGCCUAAAGUGAAAGAAAAGAAGUACAAGAAAGAAGUACCAACAAAAGUAAAAGAAGUUCAGGAAUAUGAAACGAUUCUGUUAUUUGAAAUUUUAGAAGAAAACUCCAAAAAGCUUAAAGAGGAGUUAGUUUUGUACAUAAAAAAACAAGUGAAUCCUCUUCUUAAUGAAUUUUACUUAGUUGAAAGUGAAGUGAAAAGUUUAAAAUUAAAAAUUGGAAAUCUAAAGCUUCAAAUUGACGAAAUUUCAAGUCAGCUUAUAAUGAAGGACUCUGAUCUUCAAGACAAAAAUAAAAAGCUUAAUGUUCUUGAAAACAUUGUUGAAGAUCAUGAUCGUUUCAUAAAAGAUGCUCUAGAAAAACUAGAGAGGAAAGCUGAAUCAGAUGAUGUGAAAGGAAAAGCUGAGAAGAAGGAUGUUGUUGCUGUUGAAAGAACAUUGUCAAGUUUAUGUGAUGUUUCCACUUCAAACAUAACAGCUUUGACCUAUUGAAAUCAAACAGUAUGUGCAUAGUGGGGAGCAGAAGAACUUAGCUCAAAUAAAACAAUUGCAUACUUCUUCAGAGGGUUUCAAAUCUUUUACAUCUGCCUAUGAUGAAAUGAAAGUUCCUAUAUCUAUUCAAACUGGAG